AUGGAUCCGAGAAGUUUUGACGGAGGCAAAACUUGGUCCUCAAGGUCCUGCCAGACCGCGGUGAGCAGGGCAUCAGCAGGUACAACCCGCAACUCAAGAGCCCUGAGUGGAGGAAGCUCCUCGCUGCCCCUCCCCAGUGAGACCCAAACAUGCGAACCUCCCAGGCAGCCCCUGCCCCAGAAGAGAGGGGUCUCUGCCUUCUGCGCCCAACAGGUGCAGAAGAAUCCUCCUUUCCCCGAACGCGGUGGACUGGGUCUUUCCUGCACCCGGAGGCCCCUAAGGCUUCGGCCCACACCCGGCCUGCGCUCGUGGGGACCGCGCUCUAGGAAGCCGUAGGCCGCGAAACAGGCCUGUCUCCAAAGUCACUUUCAGGCCUCUCGGGGAAUCCUGGAGGUUUCCACAAGUCCGCGGGUGGUCGACUUUGCGAGAACGCCCCCGCCGCCGUCACCUGCAUCAGAGCCCGCUGCCGGACAGUGCGCUCCCGGAUCCCCCCCAAAGCGGCUGCUUUCUCCCAGUUGGGGCGCCGGGCUUCUUUACAGCCGGGAACCCAAGUGCUUCUGGACCUGGGAGAGACCGGCCCCCUUUUUCAGUGCUCCCGCGACUCCGAGCCACUUCCGGUAGUUAACUGUUCCAAAGUGUCAGGGCUAGGAGCGGGGCUGGUGGCCGGGUUAACGGCGCUGGGAGCUGGGAACAGCCGGGAGACGAGGGCUGGCGGGUGAGUACGCGAGUGAGGGCGAGGAGGGUGCUGUUCUCCGCCAAAGGGCAGGUGGGACCGUUGGGGCUGGGAUUGGGGUUAGGAAUUUAGGGAGCAGUUCAGAAUUAGGGUAAUUGUUAACACUGCGGGUAUCAUUUUAAAACUUACACAACAGCAACAAGGCAACGAAUUCAGGAAGAUCGGAUAUCAGUUAACUGAUUUAAACAGCUUUGAGGGGAAGAAUGCUGAAUAUGACGCUAAAAGACCUAACAGUGCUGUUAGUGGCGGCUAAUACUAACAGCACUUACUAUGUGCCAGGCACUGUUCUCAACCCAUUACAUUUAGUCACUUAUGUAUUUCCCACGUUUUGAGGUAGAUGCCCUUAUACCAUUGUUUUACAGAUGAGGAACCCGAGGCACAGAGAGAAUAAGUGAAUUAGCCAAGGUCAUAUAAUUAGUAACUAGCAGAGCAACUCCGGCAUUCUGCUCUUAACCUCUACUGCCUUUCAUUGAUAACCUGAUUUUAUCAGUUUAGGAAAUGUGCUGUCCAGAAGGAAGUCUAAGUUUGUACAGACAUGUUAUAGUAUGAAUCUAUUCUGUUACUAUAGAAUAGUAGUUCCAAAUCUCAUCAGGUUUGUUGACAAUUUCCCUUUAGACAGAGGACUUAACAAAGGGUGCCUUCUACAGAGAGUUUUAAGGAGAAAAUAAUACAAUUUUUCAUUUAACAAAUUAAUUAGGCCCACACAUGAUUUCAAAGUCCCUUCUGUCCCAUUUCUCUCUAGAUUCUUUUCUGUUCUUAUUAGGUUAAAUCAUUUGUAAUUGCUGAUAUUGACUGUCUCUGACCUACAAAAAAGAUAAUUUCAUACAUUUAACCUAAUAGUUAAACAAAUACCUUUUUGUGUGAGAACCUAGGAGUCUAUAACAAUCUUUUAGCAGACUGUUCUGGCUUUAUCGCCAAAACAUACCUUGAACCUGCUUCUCUUCACGCCCUCUUUGGACCUAUGUGUGUGCCACCACCUCCUCUCAUCUGAAGUACUGCAGCAGCCUCUUGGCUCGUCUUGCUUCUGCUCUUUUCUCACUCUUGCUUCCCUAAGGGGCCAGAAUGACCUUUUAAAAACAAAAAUCAGAUCAUGUCCUUCCCUUCCAAUGGUGCCCCAUCAUGUUUAGAAUACAUAUCUUGGACCUCUCUAAUGUUUAUACUACAUUUCCCUUAAUCCAUUGCUUUAGACCCAAUGACCUUCUUUCAUGUCCUGUAAACACAUCAGUUUCAUUCCUCUUGUAGAAACUGCAUUAGCUAUUCCAUUUGCCUGGCAUGGUCUUCUGCAGAACUUCCCAAGGCUGGACAUUUAUAUUUCAGUUAGGAUGUCAGCUCUCCAGAAAAGCCUUUUCUGACUACUUGUAGUAGUCAUUCAGUCACUCUGUUUCCUUUCAAUUCGUGUUUAUAUUCUAUAUACCACUAUUCCUGUUUGAUAUAUUUGUCUCCCUUUUCUGUAACACAGGCUUAUAAAAGAGAGAUCUUAUUUAUCUUGUUAUAUCAUGCUAUAUCCCCAGUACUUAGAAUAGGGGCACACAGCAUACACUCAGUAAAUACUUGUUGAAUUAAUGAAUAAGAAGAAAUAGGUAAGAAAAGUCCUUGGCACUACAGAACGUAGCUGCACAGAACUGAGGUGGUUUGGAACAUAGUGAAUGGGACCUACCCUGAGGGUGAGGAGAUCUUGAUCAGUGCUGUCCAGUAAAUAGGGAUAUAAUGUGAUCCACCUAUGUAAUAUUAAGUUUUCUAGUAGCCACAUUAAAAAUGUUAAAAGACAGGU
ensembl:lncRNA